UACGAAGGGGGCUAGCGUUGCUCGGAAUUACUGGGCGUAAAGGGCGCGUAGGCGGCGCUGCGAGUCAGGCGUGAAAUUCCUGGGCUUAACCUGGGGGCUGCGCUUGAGACUGUGGUGCUAGAGGACGGAAGAGGGUCGUGGAAUUCCCAGUGUAGAGGUGAAAUUCGUAGAUAUUGGGAAGAACACCGGUGGCGAAGGCGGCGACCUGGUCCGUUACUGACGCUGAGGCGCGACAGCGUGGGGAGCAAACAGG
rnacentral:rRNA from 1 species